UUGCGACCACAUUACGUUGAAACACCGGAUCCCGUACAAUCACCAAAGUUAAGCAACGUCGAUUCUGGUCAGUACCUAGAUGUGUGACCGCUUGGGAAUACCAGGUGCUGUAAG